rnacentral:rRNA from 1 species
AACGAACGCUGGCGGCAUGCCUAACACAUGCAAGUCGAACGAUCCCUUCGGGGAUAGUGGCGCACGGGUGCGUAACGCGUGGGAAUCUGCCCUUGGCUUCGGAAUAACAGUUAGAAAUGACUGCUAAUACCGGAUGAUGUCUUCGGACCAAAGAUUUAUCGGCCAGGGAUGAGCCCGCGUAGGAUUAGGUAGUAGGUGAGGUAAAGGCUCACCAAGCCGACGAUCCUUAGCUGGUCUGAGAGGAUGAUCAGCCACACUGGGACUGAGACACGGCCCAGACUCCUACGGGAGGCAGCAGUGGGGAAUAUUGGACAAUGGGCGCAAGCCUGAUCCAGCAAUGCCGCGUGAGUGAUGAAGGCCUUCGGGUCGUAAAGCUCUUUUACCCGGGAUGAUAAUGACAGUACCGGGAGAAUAAGCUCCGGCUAACUCCGUGCCAGCAGCCGCAGUAA